AAAUUGCUGGUAACGAUGAGGGAGGUCGUAAUUAGGUGGGUUUAUUCAUUAUUUGUUUCUGGUUUUGGCGUGCUUCGUCGCGUUUACCGUGCUGUGCUGGUCGGCAACGGCCUCCUUUCUCUCUUUUUGGCUCACCAAGUUUAUGAAAUCUUUCCAAACUCUAGUACUCCUCUCGCUUCCCUAUUCAAUCUUUCUCUUUCUAAUUUCAUUUUUGUUAUGGAAAAUUAAGGAAAUCUUUUCCAAAUUCAGUAGCUGGCUGCAGAUUUUGAGAUUCCUGUUCUCAUUCUCCCCUUUUUUUUCCCAGUUGAUUGCUCAAAAAUCAAAAUUGCUGGUAACGAUGAGGGACUUUUAGUGUAUUGUUUUGGGAUCCCAUCAAUUGUACUGAUGGUGACUUCGAUUGCUGAAGGCUUUUUAAUAACCCAAUCUUAGUUCAUCUUGAAUUUGAUAUAAGGGCAAGUGUAUAUAGAGGAUAUUCUUGUGUAAUUGCUUUCAGACAUUACUGUGAGUUUGGUUUUGCUGUGUGGGGUAAAAAAUGGUUGGAAAUUCUUUAGCUCCGGUUUCAACAUGCCCUGUUGCGUUAUCUUCUUCAUUGAUUAUUGUUCCGCCUGGUUCUUCAAGCUUCUUGCCUUGUCUUCCAUUGAGGCAACGAAAGCGGCUCAUGCGGGUAAGAGCUAUGUCAGCAGAUGCAGGACAUGGCCAAGCUGCUUCUUCUUCCUCUUCUUCAGAGAAAAAGAAUCCACUUGCAGUUGUUUUAGAGGUUCCUCAAAGUAUUUGGAGGCAAACGUUGAAGCCAUUGAGUGAUUUUGGGUUUGGAAGGAGGAGCAUUUGGGAAGGUGGGGUGGGUUUGUUUCUUGUGUCAGGUGCAGUCCUCCUUGCUCUUAGUUUGGCUUGGUUGAGGGGUUUUCAGUUACGCUCCAAGUUCAGGAAGUAUGUGGCUGUAUUUGAGUUUGCUCAAGCUUGUGGUAUUUGCACAGGAACCCCAGUUAGGAUUAGAGGGGUAACUGUUGGCAAUGUCAUCCAAGUUAAUCCUUCCUUGAGAAGUAUUGAAGCAGUUGUUGAGGUUGAAGAUGAUAAGAUAAUCAUACCUAGAAAUUCGCUGAUUGAGGUGAAUCAGUCAGGUCUUCUUAUGGAAACAUUGAUUGAUAUUACCCCUAAAGAUCCAAUUCCAUCGCCUUCUGUGGGACCUCUCGAUGGUGAAUGUGUUAAAGAAGGUUUAAUUGUAUGUGAUAGGCAGAAGAUAAAGGGGCAUCAAGGAGUAAGUUUGGAUGCAUUGGUUGGGAUAUUCACCCGGCUCGGACGUGAAAUGGAGGAAAUUGGUGUUUCUAAAAGCUAUUCAUUGGCUGAGCGCGUUGCUGCUGUUAUUGAAGAGGCAAAGCCACUGCUUACAAAGAUUCAGGAAAUGGCUGAAGAUGUUCAACCUUUGCUAUCUGAGGUUCGUGAUAAAGGUCUCCUUAAGGAAGUUGAGAAUUUGACCAGAAGCCUAACACAAGCCUCUGAAGAUCUGAGGUAAGUUAUACAGCCUCCUUUCUUUAACAGCUGGAUUUUGGUUGUCUUCCCACCCAAGCGCACAACAUCACCAUUCAAUAGUGAUCUCUCUCUUCCUCACCCUGCCGAAUGCCUCUAUCGGAAAAGCUAUCUGUUAUUUCUUUAUUAACAAAUUUUGUUGGGAAUGUAAUACUGCAAAAUACGUUUUGUCUUUAACUUUGAUUAAAACCACCAUAAUCUCUUUCUUAUUUCACUGCCAUUGGUGUUGCCCCCAUGUUAUCACAAUUGCACUAUGCUUGUUGCUUCAUCACUUCCUUCCACCAUUACGUUACAUCACGAACAUCACUGAACCAUAAUUUCAGGGUUUCAACAUCACGAACAUCAUACAUGUUUAGUGCCCACAGAUGCCUGUAUGUAUGUCCCCUUUUUUUUGAUAAUCGAUAUGUAAGUCCCUUUUUUCUUAAAAGAGUUAUUUAUAUAACUCACAAAAUGUGCAAAUUGCAAUAUUUUUGGUCCAUUCAAAUUAACGUUAACUAUUUGGAUAAUAUUAUUUUAGCUUCCAGGUUCUGGAUCCACUAAAAUAUGUGAAAAUUGAGUACAAGUUGAACUGGAGUUACUGACUUCUAAAUUCUAAUAGCUUCUUUUUUUGGGUUGGAAAUUUAGUAUCUUAAAAUACAUAAUUUCUUCCUGAACAUAUAUCUUUGUUUCACCUGUCUAAGUCCACUGAUAGGAAUGGACCUGCAGUCAUCCUGUAGCGCACCCAAGAGGUGCAGCUUGCAGGUUUGUGUUGAGAUUUUCAACAAGGGGAUAAUUUUUCCAUCAAGUUGAAUCUCAGAUUUAGAAAGGCCCUUUUAGACUUAUGUUUUGUUGCCAUGUAUUUUUCACUGAUAUUUCAUGCAAUAAUCCUUCAUACUACAAUAAGAAAAUUACCUCUUGGACCUGUAGUGACAUGCUUCUAAAUGCUGAUUGCUUCUAUAGGAAGCUUUCGAGUAUGUAUAUGUAAAUAUGAUUGGAAAAUUCAAGCAGCCAUGCCCAUUAACCUUAUGAUGGCAUGCAGAGGUAUGACAAUCUGACCAUGAUGAAUUGUUUAUUGAUUUGGAGUGAUUUUGUCUAUAGUUUUAACAUUUUCAUGUCAACAUUCACAUUUGAUUUGACCAAAAUGAGAAUUCUGUGUAGACCAAGAUUGAAAGAAACAUUAAGGACAUUGUUUUUGAAAAAAGACAAGAUAGACUAUUUAUCUCUCAGAUUAUGGUUAUGAAAUAACAAUUGUUGAUUUUCCUCAUUUGCAGAAAGGCACAUACAUCAAUUAUGACCCCAGAGAACACUGAGCUGAUUCAGAAGUCCGUAUACAGUCUGAUAUUUACUUUGAAAAACAUUGAGAAUAUAAGCUCCCAUAUUCUAGGAUUCACGGGUGAUGAGGCUACAAGACGGAACUUGAAAGCACUUAUCAAGUCUCUCAGUAGGAUGUUAUGAAGACAAGUGAAAGAUGAAAAUAGCAUGGUAGCUUUUAAAGUUGAUUAGAUUCCAGAAAAGGCUUCUUUUAUCAUCCAUUCUGGAUCUUACAGGUCUCGAUUUUGGAUAGAGAUACUUAUUGCAUUCAUUUUAAUCCAGUUCUGUUGGAUGUUUUUGUGAAGCUAGUCAGAAGUGAACAGAAACUUUUCAAUGGAAGCAGAUUUUGUUAUAGAAAACCUGUAAUUAGUGUUUCGAAUACUUGGAAAGGUUCAAUUUUUCCCAAAAAUUAAAUUUCUGGAGAAAUCACAUUGUUGAAAAUUACUGGUUGGUAAAUAUUUUGAAUUUGCAUAUUUUUUUUGAAG
rnacentral:misc_RNA from 1 species